rfam:Ornithorhynchus anatinus chromosome 3, whole genome shotgun sequence.
CCCCUCUUAGGGUCACACCUGGAGAGUUUCCAGUACUCCACCAGUCCCGACUAUGGGAGGGAGAGUCAAGCAGAGGCAUACCUAUUCCAUUCCUAGCUUGGGCAGUGGUUAGCAAAUGGAAGGCAAUCUGCUACAAGU